CUUAUGAAAUAACUCCGAGCCAUUUGGCCUGCCUCCUUCUUGGAAAUGGCCUCUGGCCCUCAGGGUUGGGCUGGAAACGGUUUAGCCUCCCGAGUUUGGAAAGGAGUAUUAAUGACAUUCUG
rnacentral:ncRNA from 2 species